rnacentral:rRNA from 1 species
GACUGCUAUUGGGGUAAGGCUAAGCCAUGGGAGCCGAACGCCCUAUCACUAUAGGGCGUGACGCACGGCUGGGUAACACGUAGCUAACCUACCCUCGGGACUGGGAUAACUCCGGGAAACUGGAGCUAAACCCGGAUAGGUGAGGAGUCCUGGAAUGGUUCCUCACUUAAAGAGAUCUUAGGGGGUACUGCCUAAGAUCUGCCCGAGGAUGGGGCUACGGCCCAUCAUGGUAGUUGGCGGGGUAAUGGCCCGCCAAGCCUACGACGGGUAGGGGCCCUGGGAGGGGGAGCCCCCAGAUGGACCCUGAGACAAGGGUCCAGGCCCUACGGGGCGCACCAGGCGCGAAACCUCUGCAAUGCGGGAAACCGUGACAGGGUUACCCCAAGUGCUCCCGUUAAGGGAGCUUUUCCUCGCUGUAAGGGGGCGAGGGAAUAAGCGGGGGGCAAGACUGGUGUCAGCCGCCGCGGUAAUACCAGCCCCGCGAGUGGUCAGGACGAUUACUGGGCCUAAAGCGCCCGUAGCCGGUCUAGCAAGUCCUCUCUGAAAGCUCCGGGCCUAACCCGGAGAGCGGAGAGGAUACUGCUAGGCUAGGGGGCGGGAAAGGCCGGGGGUACUCCUAGGGUAGGGGCGAAAUCCGAUAAUCCUAGGAGGACCACCAGUGGCGAAGGCGCCCGGCUGGAACGCGCCCGACGGUGAGGGGCGAAAGCUGGGGGAGCGAACCGGAUUAGAUACCCGGGUAGUCCCAGCUGUAAACGAUGCAGGCUAGGUGUUAGAUGGGCGUUAGUGCCCAUCUAGUGCCGCAGGGAAGCCGUUAAGCCUGCCGCCUGGGGAGUACGGCCACAAGGCUGAAACUUAAAGGAAUUGGCGGGGGGGCACACAAGGGGUGGAGCCUGCGGCUCAAUUGGAGUCAACGCCGGGAACCUCCACCGGGAGCGACAGCAGGAUGACGGCCAGGCUAACGACCUUGCCUGACACGCUGAGGGGAGGUGCACGGCCGUCGCCAGCUCGUGCUGUGAAGUGUCCUGUUAAGUCAGGCAAGCGAGCGAGACCCCCGCUCUUAGUUGCUAUCCCAUAGGAG